CAAGCUGAUUGGUUGCUAUGGGCAACUGGGCAAGUUUUCCUCUGCACAGCUCCUUGUACCAACGGAAAGGAGGAUAUCUGUCGGCCACUCCAUCAGUAACAGGAGUCCCAGAAGAAGUAACUUGAAUGAGAUGAGGAAGCUUCCAGUAACAACCAGCAUUACAGGAAUUUGUGUUUCACUUGGUGACCUUUUUAACAACAGAACACAUAAUUAAGUCAACUGUCUGAUAUAAUAUGGAAAUAAUAAACUUUGUUAAA